UGCUGUGCAUUUCUUUUGGAUGAAGAGUACGAUUCAGAUCCUGGACACCAAGGAAAGCCCUGUGAACUCUACAUACCAUCAAGUUGGCAUUCACCUGUAUGUGAAUAUUCAGUGAGGGCAUCCGCUUCACCACACUGUCCUGCCCAGAGGGAGCCCUACCUGGACCUGGUUUCUCUUCAGAAAGCGGCAGGGAACUGGGAUUUGGAGGCCAAACUCUUUGACGUGCUUGGCAAGACAGAAAAGGAACUGGCCAAACAGAAG